GACGAACGCUGGCGGCGUGCUUAACACGUGCAAGUCGAACGGAAAGGCCCUGCUUGCCGGGUACUCGAGUGGCGAACGGGUGAGUAACACGUGGGUGAUCUGCCCUGCACUUCGGGAUAAGCCUGGGAAACUGGGUCUAAUACCGGAUAGGAGCCAUUUUUAGUGUGAUGGUUGGAAAGUUUUUUCGGUGUAGGAUGAGCUCGCGGCCUAUCAGCUUGUUGGUGGGGUAAUGGCCUACCAAGGAGGCGACUGGCAGCCGGCCUGAGAGGGUGGACGGCCAAAUUGGGACUGAGGUACGGCCCAGACUCCUACGGGGGGCAGCAGGGGGGAAUAUUGCACAAUGGGCGCAAGCCUGAUGCAGCGACGCCGCGUGGGGGAUGACGGCCUUCGGGUUGGAAACUCCUUUCGCUAGGGACGAAGCUUUUUGUGACGGUACCUAGAUAAGAAGCACCGGCUAACUACGUG
rnacentral:rRNA from 1 species